CAUACGUCCUACGGGAGAAAGCAGGGGACCUUCGGGCCUUGCGCUAUCAGAUGAGCCUAGGUCGGAUUAGCUAGUUGGUGAGGUAAUGGCUCACCAAGGCGACGAUCCGUAACUGGUCUGAGAGGAUGAUCAGUCACACUGGAACUGAGACACGGUCCAGACUCCUACGGGAGGCAGCAGUGGGGAAUAUUGGACAAUGGGCGAAAGCCUGAUCCAGCCAUGCCGCGUGUGUGAAGAAGGUCUUCGGAUUGUAAAGCACUUUAAGUUGGGAGGAAGGGUUGUAGAUUAAUACUCUGCAAUUUUAACGUUACCGACAGAAUAAGCACCGGCUAACUGUGUGCCAGCAGCCGCGGUAAUACAGAGGGUGCAAGCGUUAAUCGGAAUUACUGGGCGUAAAGCGCGCGUAGGUGGUUUGUUAAGUUGGAUGUGAAAUCCCCGGGCUCAACCUGGGAACUGCAUUCAAAACUGACUGACUAGAGUAUGGUAGAGGGUGGUGGAAUUUCCUGUGUAGCGGUGAAAUGCGUAGAUAUAGGAAGGAACACCAGUUGGCGAAGGCGACCACCUGGACUAAUACUGACACUGAGGUG
rnacentral:rRNA from 1 species